rnacentral:rRNA from 1 species
GACGAACGCUGGCGGCGUGCUUAACACAUGCAAGUCGAACGAUGAAGCCUAGCUUGCUAGGUGGAUUAGUGGCGAACGGGUGAGUAAUACGUGAGUAACCUGCCCCUUACUUUCCUGGAUAACUGCUCGAAAGGGUAGCUAAUACGGGAUAUUCUGACCGGCCUGCAUGGGUUGGUUUGGAAAGGUUGUUUUUUCUGGUGAGGGAUGGGCUCGCGGCCUAUCAGCUUGUUGGUGGGGUGAUGGCCUACCAAGGCUUUGACGGGUAGCCGGCCUGAGAGGGUGGACGGUCACACUGGGACUGAGAUACGGCCCAGACUCCUACGGGAGGCAGCAGUGGGGAAUAUUGCACAAUGGGCGCAAGCCUGAUGCAGCGACGCCGCGUGAGGGAUGAAGGCCUUCGGGUUGUAAACCUCUUUCGUCAGGGAACAAGGCAUUACGUUUUGGUGGUGUUGAGGGUACCUGGAUAAGAAGCGCCGGCUAACUACGUGCCAGCAGCCGCGGUAAUACGUAGGGCGCAAGCGUUGUCCGGAAUUAUUGGGCGUAAAGAGCUCGUAGGCGGCUGGUCGCGUCUGUCGUGAAAACUUCCGGCUCAACCGGGGGCUUGCGGUGGGUACGGGCCGGCUAGAGUGCGGUAGGGGUAACUGGAACUCCUGGUGUAGCGGUGGAAUGCGCAGAUAUCAGGAAGAACACCGAUGGCGAAGGCAGGUUACUGGGCCGUUACUGACGCUGAGGAGCGAAAGCGUGGGGAGCGAACAGGAUUAAUACCCUAGUAGUCCAAGGGCGAAUUCCACAGUGGAUAUCAAGCUUAUCGAUACCGUCGACCUCGAGGGGGGGGCGGGUACCCAGCUUUUGUUCCCUAUUAGUGAAGGGAUAAUUACACGAUGGCGUAAUCAUGGCAUACUGUUCCAGG